AAGUCACUGAACUUGAACUGAAAUCCAAACCGAACAUGCAAGCCAAACGGCUUCUAUUCUACGGGAAGAUGAAGCUAAGGAGCAUUAUGUUUUAUAGGAAACUUUGACUCAGAAUCUAUCAUUUUAUUCCUACAGGCAUGGCUUGAGAUGACAAUCCAAGUGAGGGAGGAGAUGGAACCAUCUCAGGUGAGAGCCAAUUAUGAAGCACAACACAAAUACCUGACAUGGCGAGCACAAAAGGAUCCUGGACAUGGUCUUCUUAAAAGAUUAGUUGGUGAAGCAAAGGCAAAGGAGCUGCUAAGGGAUUUCCUGUUCAAUGGGGUCAAUGAGUUAGGUACAAAAACAUUCAUUGAAACUCGGCCAUGAAGAGUCUCUUAGGUCUAUCUGCAUUUCAAGAUGAUUGUUUAAGUCAUAUGAAACUCCGCCAUGAAGAGUCUCUUAGGUCUAUCUGCAUUUCAAGAUGAUUGUUUGAGUUACCAAGAGUUUUACUUCUAAUUUGCACCAUGCAUUGUAGUUUUACAAGUGUAACUCUCAGCCUCUUAGUAGGGCUCAAGUCAUUUGCUAAUCCUAUUAAAGGAGAAGCAAAUUCUCUUUCUCUCUCAAAAUGAGAAUUCUCGAGUAUGAUAUGAUUUUAAUGAAAAUGUAUUCGUCUCUACCUAAUCAACAGAGAUUUACUUAUAAAAAUCCAGACAUAAACAUAUCAUAACUUUAACAUCCAGACAUAAACAUAUCAUAACUUUAGCAUCCAGACAUAAACAUCAUGCA